GCCUGGUUGGCUCAGUUGGUACAGCACGUGACUCAUAAUCUCAGGGUUGUGAGUUCAAGCCCCACACUGGACA